rnacentral:rRNA from 1 species
CCCGCUGAACUUAAGCAUAUCAAUAAGCGGAGGAAAAGAAACUAACAAGGAUUCCCCUAGUAACUGCGAGUGAAGCGGGAAGAGCUCAAAUUUAAAAUCUGGCGCGCCUUUGGCCGUCCGAGUUGUAGUCUGGAGAAGCGUUUAUCCGCGUCGGACCGUGUACAAGUCUUCUGGAAGGGAGCGUCAUAGAGGGUGAGAAUCCCGUCUCUGACACGGACAACCGAUGCUUUUGUGAUACGCUCUCGAAGAGUCGAGUUGUUUGGGAAUGCAGCUCAAAAUGGGUGGUAAAUUCCAUCUAAAGCUAAAUAUUGGCGAGAGGCCGAUAGCGAACAAGUACCGUGAGGGAAAGAUGAAAAGCACUUUGGAAAGAGAGUUAAACAGUACGUGAAAUUGUUGAAAGGGAAACGUUUGAAGUCAGUCGCGUCGGCCGAGACUCAGCCUCGCUUUUUCAGCUUGGUGCACUUCUCGGUUGACGGGUCAGCAUCAAUUUUGAUCGCCGGAAAAGGGCUGGGGGAAUGUGGCAUCUCUCGAGAUGUGUUAUAGCCCUCGGUUCGCAUACGGCGGUUGGGAUUGAGGAACUCAGCGCGCCUUUAUGGUCGAGGCUUUUGCCUACGCAACGCGCUUAGGAUGCUGGCAUAAUGGCUUUAAGCGACCCGUCUUGAAACACGG